UGUCUGCUGAUUGUUGCCUGAGUGUCAGCAUGGGAAAUUAAGGAUCUUAGAGGUUCUGUUUUGGAUUUGCUUUACCAUCAGUGGCCACUGGGUUCCCUGCACUGUGUGGAUGGCGGUGGAGAAAAGGUUGCAGUGUGAUUGCUGUGAGCUGAGUGUGGUGAAAACACUGCUGCUUGGGUACCUCAUCUGUCCUCACUUUCUGGUUAA